GACGAACGCUGGCGGCAUGCCUAAUACAUGCAAGUUGAACGAUGAUAUUCUCUGCUUGCAGAGAAUUGAAGAGUAGCGAACGGGUGAGUAACACGUGGGGAACCUGCCCAUGAGAGGGGGAUAACAUUCGGAAACGGAUGCUAAUACCGCAUAAUGCUUUGGACCGCCUGGUCCAGAGACGAAAGACGGCUUUUGCUGUCACUCAUGGAUGGCCCCGCGCCGUAUUAGCUAGUUGGUGAGGUAAUGGCUCACCAAAGCUGUGAUACGUAGCCGACCUGAGAGGGUGAUCGGCCACACUGGGACUGAGACACGGCCCAGACUCCUACGGGAGGCAGCAGUAGGGAAUCUUCCACAAUGGGCGAAAGCCUGAUGGAGCAAUGCCGCGUGAAUGAAGAAGGUCUUCGGAUCGUAAAGUUCUGUUAUUAGAGAAGAACAAGUCGAGGAGUAACUGUCUUGACUUUGACGGUACCCAACCAGAAAGUCACGGCUAACUACGUG
rnacentral:rRNA from 1 species